rnacentral:rRNA from 1 species
UCCUACGGGAGGCAGCAGUGGGGAAUCUUUGCACAAUGGAGGAAACUUCUGAUGCAGCGAUGCCGCGUGAGUGAAAGAAGGCCUUUGGGUUGUAAAGCUCUUUUUGUAGGGGAAGAUAAUGACUGUACCCUAAAGAAAUAAGGUCCGGCUAACUUCGUGCCAGCAGCCGCGGUAAUACGAAGGGACCUAGCGUAGUUCGGAAUUACUGGGCGUAAAGCGCGCGUAGGCCGUUGAGUUAGUUAAUUGUGAAAUCCCAAAGCUUAACUUUGGAACUGCAAUUAAAACUGCUCGACUAGAGUUUGAUAGAGGAAAGCGGAAUACAUAGUGUAGAGGUGAAAUUCGUAGAUAUUAUGUAGAACACCAGUUGCGAAGGCGGCUUUCUGGAUCAACACUGACGCUGAGGCGCGAAAGUAUGGGUAGCAAAGAGGAUUAGAUACCCUCGUAGUCCAUACCAUAAACGAUGAUUGCUAGAUGUUGGAAAUUUAUUUUCAGUAUCGCAGCUAACGCAUUAAGCAAUCCGCCUGGGGAGUACGACCGCAAGGUUAAAACUCAAAGGAAUUGACGGGGA